AGCCUCUCAACGUCUCGCUUUGUCAUGCCGUCUGAGCGGGGGAAGGUAGCUUGCUACCGGACCUAGCGGCGGACGGGUGAGUAAUGCUUAGGAAUCUGCCUAUUAGUGGGGGACAACAUCUCGAAAGGGAUGCUAAUACCGCAUACGUCCUACGGGAGAAAGCAGGGGAUCUUCGGACCUUGCGCUAAUAGAUGAGCCUAAGUCGGAUUAGCUAGUUGGUGGGGUAAAGGCCUACCAAGGCGACGAUCUGUAGCGGGUCUGAGAGGAUGAUCCGCCACACUGGGACUGAGACACGGCCCAGACUCCUACGGGAGGCAGCAGUGGGGAAUAUUGGACAAUGGGGGGAACCCUGAUCCAGCCAUGCCGCGUGUGUGAAGAAGGCCUUAUGGUUGUAAAGCACUUUAAGCGAGGAGGAGGCUACUUUAGUUAAUACCUAGAGAUAGUGGACGUUACUCGCAGAAUAAGCACCGGCUAACUCUGUGCCAGCAGCCGCGGUAAUACAGAGGGUGCGAGCGUUAAUCGGAUUUACUGGGCGUAAAGCGUGCGUAGGCGGCUUAUUAAGUCGGAUGUGAAAUCCCCGAGCUUAACUUGGGAAUUGCAUUCGAUACUGGUGAGCUAGAGUAUGGGAGAGGAUGGUAGAAUUCCAGGUGUAGCGGUGAAAUGCGUAGAGAUCUGGAGGAAUACCGAUGGCGAAGGCAGCCAUCUGGCCUAUACUGACGCUGAUGUACGAAAGCAUGGGGAGCAAACAGGAUUAGAUACCCUGGUAGUCAUGCGUAAACGAUGUCUACUAGCCGUUGGGGCCUUUGAGGCUUUAGUGGCGCAGCUACGCAUAAGAAACCGCCUGGGGAGUACGUUGCAGA
rnacentral:rRNA from 1 species